rnacentral:rRNA from 1 species
CACGCCGUAAACGGUGGAUGCUGGAUGUGGGGCCCGUUCCACGGGUUCCGUGUCGGAGCUAACGCGUUAAGCAUCCCGCCUGGGGAGUACGGCCGCAAGGCUAAAACUCAAAGAAAUUGA